GCAAUAUUUUCAAGUAUAUUUUUAUUCCAAUAUAAAUUAUAACAAUCGUUAAUAUUUUUAUUCAUGAUGGAUUUUAUUGCACAUCGUGAAGUUGAAAUUAUGUUCGAUUGAGAAGAUAUUCGACGACUGUAAUUUGCAAGGGAUACAAGGACGUUCCUUUCGUAUUCAAUGAACUUUAGUUGCAUCUUUUGCGUAUUCGGGACGCGCCUGGUUGCAUAGAAACAAGGGAUUAGUGUGUCCUUGACAAAUUUCUGCCUUUUGUUGCGUGCUGCAUGCCAUUCAUUACGGAAUACAUGCCAAAAAACUAUUGGCCAUUAUGAAAGUUUCCAAUUCUUUGAAGUCGAAGGCUGGAAUUGUUUUGAAACACGUGUUCUGCAGAAGUCUCAGAAAAUUACAGAAAAACCAAUAGUACCAUUUUAGGAUAAAAAUCUGUGAACGUAUCGCACGUGACACAGCAUUCGUUCUUCGGCUUUGAUCUGAUAUCUUUUUGUUGGAAUAUCCGGAUUGAAGAUUAUCGAUUGAACGUGACUGACGAUCGAUUGUCUACGUCCCAACUUACCAGGGAUACACGCAUAUUUUAACCGCAAAGUGGCAGGAUUCCAAUAAACGGCGCCAGGAUGAUCGGUGAUGAAGUUGUAACGACAAUGUUUUUGACCAGAACAUCUGAAAUAUUGAAACAACAAUCAUAUAUCGCUAAAAAGAUUUAACUACUACGAACAUCUGAAUGAAUAUACAUAUUUCGAUGCAAAUGUUCAAUUUCAAUUUCUUGAAAACAAA